rnacentral:rRNA from 1 species
GCUGAAUAUCUAGCCCUACUCUUCUCCAUUUUCUUCCUUUAUUAAUUCCUACUAACCAAAACAUUUUAUCAAUCUAGUAAAGGCGAUUAAAAAAUUUAUUGGCGCAAUAUACUAAGUACCGUAAGGGAAUGAUGAAAUAAAACUGAAACAACUCUAAAGCACAAAAAAGUAGAGUUUAACCCUCGUACCUUUUGCAUCAUGAUUUAACUAGUCUAACCAAGCAAAAAGACUUUUAGUUUGACCCCCCGAAACUAAGCGAGCUACUUUAGAACAGCUUUACGAGCAAACCCGUCUCUGUUGCAAAAGAGUGGGAAGAUUUUAAAAUAGCGGUGAAAGACCUAACGAGCCUAGUGAUAGCUGGUUGCUUAUGAAAAGGAUUUAAGUCCUGCUUAAAGACAUAUUUAUUCAACGAAAUCUUUCUUUAAAGUUAUUCAAAUAAGGUACAGCCUAUUUGAAAAAGGAGACAACCUCCACCCUUGGGUUAUUCUUCACGAAUAAAUAACUAAGUAGGCUUAAAAGCAGCCAUCUAAAAUAAAAGCGUCAUAGCUUUCUUAUUCAUUCAUUUAAUUCCUUCAUUUUUACCUAACCCUUCAUUAUUAAAAAGCAACUCUAUACUCUUAUAGAAAAUUUUAUGUUAAAACUAGUAAUAAGAAGACUAACUCUUCUCCUUAAUGCAAGCAUAUAUCAGCAAGGAUCGCCCGCUGAUCUUUAACGUCAUUAAUAUUAUAGUAGUAACUUAACAAGAAAAGACUACUCCAUACUACGUUAAUCUAACACAAGAGCAUUUUAAGAAAGAUUUAAAGAAAAAGAAGGAACUCGGCAAAUAUUAGCCUCGCCUGUUUACCAAAAACAUCGCCCCCCGAACCAUAUGAGGGGUCCAGCCUGCCCAGUGACAUUGUUCAACGGCCGCGGUAUCCUAACCGUGCGAAGGUAGCGUAAUCACUUGUUCUUUAAAUGAGGACUAGUAUGAACGGCUUCACGAAGGCUACACUGUCUCCUUUUUCUAAUCAAUGAAACUAAUCUCCCCGUGAAGAAGCGGGGAUAAACCUAUAAGACGAGAAGACCCUAUGGAGCUUUAAACAACCGAAAUAUCUGCUUUUUAUACUUCUUUCCUUCAGAGAAUCAAAUUCAACUCAGCACUUUAUUUCCAGUUUUAGGUUGGGGUGACCACGGAGCAUAAACCAUCCUCCAUGUUGAAAAAGACUUCAUCUCUUAACAUAAAGCUACGACUUCAUGUACCAACAAAUUGACUUCCAUUGACCCAAAUAAUUUGAUCAACGAACCAAGUUACCCUAGGGAUAACAGCGCAAUCUAUUUUAAGAGCUCCUAUCGACAAAUAGGUUUACGACCUCGAUGUUGGAUCAGGGUGUCCUAGUGGUGCAGCCGCUACUAACGGUUCGUUGUUCAACGAUUAAAAC